GAGACCCACGCCGUAUGUUGCCAGCUGUUUCUUCGGAAGCGGCGCACUCAUGCGGGACUGCCCGUGCUAAAUGGGAGGAAGGAGUGUCAACGGUAGGUCAGUAUGGUCCGAAUCCCCUGGGCUACACGCGGGCGCCAAUGGCAAGGACAAUAGGAUGCAACUCCGAAAGGAGGAGCUAAUCCCUGAACCCUUGUCUCAGUACAGAUUGAGGGUUGCAACUCACCCUCAUGACGCCGGAAUCCCUAGUAGGCGAAUGUUAGCAUCUUUCGUCGAAUAC
rnacentral:rRNA from 1 species